AGUGAACGCUGGCGGUAGGCCUAACACUUGCAAGUCGAACGGCAGCACAGUAAGAGCUUGCUCUUACGGGUGGCGAGUGGCGGACGGGUGAGGAAUACAUCGGAAUCUACUUUUUCGUGGGGGAUAACGUAGGGAAACUUACGCUAAUACCGCAUACGACCUACGGGUGAAAGCAGGGGAUCUUCGGACCUUGCGCGAUUGAAUGAGCCGAUGUCGGAUUAGCUAGUUGGCGGGGUAAAGGCCCACCAAGGCGACGAUCCGUAGCUGGUCUGAGAGGAUGAUCAGCCACACUGGAACUGAGACACGGUCCAGACUCCUACGGGAGGCAGCAGUGGGGAAUAUUGGACAAUGGGCGCAAGCCUGAUCCAGCCAUACCGCGUGGGUGAAGAAGGCCUUCGGGUUGUAAAGCCCUUUUGUUGGGAAAGAAAAGCAGCAGGUUAAUACCCCGCUGCUCUGACGGUACCCAAAGAAUAAGCACCGGCUAACUUCGU
rnacentral:rRNA from 1 species